AUAAUUUAUAUAAAAUUAGAAAAAUUUGAUAAUUUAUGUUACAUAUUCAAAUACUUCAUUUUUUUCGCCAAUUGUAUUGCUAUUUUAUGUCAAGGUCAAAAACCUAGUGAGACUAUUUCAAACUUCAACGUCAUGUUUUAGCUGUAGAUGAUAGAGAGAAACUAAACGAAAAACACAAAAAUGAAAAUGCUUGACGAGUGCAAAAAAAAGCAAUAAAAUAUAGCACUAAAAUGUAUGUACGUAUCAAUAUUAAAUGGAAUCUAUGUGUGUGUGAUUGAAACCACAAAACUUAAUUGCUGAAGUGGCAGUACAUAAUUAUUAAGAAAUAGUUAAACAAAAUUGUAUAGUACUUUUGGUAGAUAUGAA
rnacentral:sRNA from 1 species